UUGAACGCUGGCGGCAUGCCUUACACAUGCAAGUCGAACGGCAGCACGGGUGCUUGCACCUGGUGGCGAGUGGCGAACGGGUGAGUAAUACAUCGGAACAUGUCCUGUAGUGGGGGAUAGCCCGGCGAAAGCCGGAUUAAUACCGCAUACGAUCCACGGAUGAAAGCGGGGGACCUUCGGGCCUCGCGCUAUAGGGUUGGCCGAUGGCUGAUUAGCUAGUUGGUGGGGUAAAGGCCUACCAAGGCGACGAUCAGUAGCUGGUCUGAGAGGACGACCAGCCACACUGGGACUGAGACACGGCCCAGACUCCUACGGGAGGCAGCAGUGGGGAAUUUUGGACAAAGGGCGAAAGCCUGAUCCAGCAAUGCCGCGUGUGUGAAGAAGGCCUUCGGGUUGUAAAGCACUUUUGUCCGGAAAGAAAUCCUUGACUCUAAUACAGUCGGGGGAUGACGGUACCGGAAGAAUAAGCACCGGCUAACUACGUG
rnacentral:rRNA from 1 species